UAAAAGGGCAUCUGCUGUGACUAGCACAAGGAUGAUAGGGUGAUCUCUGUUUACCUUGCGGAAUCAACAUCAAAAGAUUUCGGGUGCAAAAUGUUUGGCUUUGGGGUUGUCAAUGAUCGAUUAUCUUGGUGCCCCU